GACUAGUAAACUCCUUAUUUUCAGAACUAUUACAAUUCUUUUUUUAAGGGAGCCGUCAUCGUCUCGGGCUCUCCGGCCUCGGUUCUUUCCUUGUCUCCUUCUUCGAUCCUCUUGUCUCCUUGUCUCGGCGCGGCCGACUGCCGGAGCACCUUCUCCAGCCCAUGGACGCGGACGGGCGACUACCUUACCGGCACCUGCGUGCGGCUCUGUGCCUACGGCGCCCGGCUGGGCAUGCGGCCAGCCUGGUCGCGCCACCGUAGCGGACGGGGCGAGGUCGCCCAUACGUGUGCCGGUUCCCGAACGGGGGACACUUAAGCUCAAGCUCAAGUAAAGGUCAAGUCGGCCGCUGUUGACCAUUAGGCUCAGGCCAUUCUUGAUACUCGAGGGGCUACUUAUUUUCGCGGACGCGCCCUCGUCGCCGAGGUUGAGCUAAGCAAGCGGAGGGAGGGUCUAGAGGUCUAGGUUAGGUCCUCUGCGGUAGCUACCGCCGCUUCCACGAGGUCGAGGCAUCGAGGCUGUCGUUCCACGAGCAGCGAGGCCGCACCCUGAUAGCGGGCCGGCGGCGGGUUCGGGAGGGCGACCUCUGCGCCCACGGGAGCGCGCAGGAGCUCUCCCACGAGGUCAUGACCUGGUUCGUGUUGGAACGGUUCCGGUGGCCACUCAGGGCCCUCGGGGAGCGGUCGACCCUGCGACUGAAGGUCGCGGCAGAGGUCCUUCUGCCGGAGCGGUUCCUCCGGCGACGUCGGCGGGUUCUUGAGACGGCGAUACCGCAGCUGGUACCUCCCGCAGGGGUAGCGGUGCGGCGGUGCCGGCGUAGACUGCAGCUACGAGGACAGUUCCGCCGGGCACGAUUAGGGCAGGCACGGACCACGGGUGAACAAGUGGUGGAGUUCCCACAGUUGGUACCUCUUGCGUCGGGCCGCGGACGCCACAGGUCGUGGAAGGUACGGAGACUAUAGCGGCGGCGGCGCGCGGGACCCGGACGGUGGUGGAACGGCCGACGACGACCACGACUGGGGCACCUGCAGGCCACGCGGUAGGCACGGGCACCUGCGGUCUACCGACUUCUGCUCCUCAGGCGAACGGUGGUGGCGUUCGCGGGCCGAAGGUUCCGAGGUGAGAUGGACGGACGGUGACGACAACGCGGACACUUCUUCCAGAGAGCAGGGCAGCGAAGGUUCCGAGCGAGAAAGCAGCCGAGUUGUGGUAACGGACAGUGACGACGACGCGGGCCACACUUCUUCUGCUGAGGUCGAAGUUGAGACGCGCGUUCUUCCCCCUACCCCCUCGAGUCGACGUUCCAAGGCUUCGUUUAGGCACGGUGGCGACGUCGUGGUUACUUCGUUGGUUAAGGAACCCACGCAGGUCACCAUAAUGCGGAAGGGAUCAGAAAAUCAACGAAGGAUUUGGUACGUGUGUACUCAAAGUAAAUUAGAAACGUAGAGAUCCAAGACGUGAAUUGGUGGUUCUAAAGAUCACAAGAAACUUAAGGAAAGUCAGUAAUCAUUAAAAUGUUCUCACAGUCGUCUCAGAGGUAGAUCGAUCCGUCGUUUUUGGAACAAUUCUACACAUGCUGUAUCAAUGGUGACGUAGGUAUGGACCAGGAUUCAAUUCCCAAAUUCAUUUAUUUCCCGUAAAAGUUAUUUAGUUUCAUUUCGUCUACUCGGAUUUUUCCUUUGAGUACAUGACGUUAAGUCCGUGCUCUGUCUCGCAUUUUGCGUGAGCGGCGUUUUAGGUUUUGUGGGCAAACGAUGGGCCGAACAUCGUCCUUUUUCCUCAUCUUAACUUGAACAGCUAUGUGUGCAUUAGUACACUCGACGGAUCGCAAACCUCUGAUACGACUGAGAGGACAUUUUAAUUAGAACCGACUUAACCUAAAAAUCCGUAACCGUAGAAUCACUCAAUUUCAACGUCAAAGGCUUCUCAUUGUAACCAAUCACUUGAGAACACACAUACACACCCACUUCGAAACUCGAUUCGUUCAGGAACUACAUGGCUGAUAGUUCAGUAUGACAUUAGUUAAAACCUAUACUUACUCUUUUAACAACCGGACUUAAAACGUCUCGUAAACUCAUUAGAAAAGCAUAGAUAAAAGAAUUUCGUAAGACGACGAGUGACUCCGUGUCUAGGUUACCCAAGUAGAGACUAAAGUGCUAUGAAGCAAACUCACCACUACGUGUAUUGGUACAAACCCUUCUAAAAAACCAAACUCUAUGUCGUGAGAUUAUCAGUUCUAACACUUUUUCCACCGUAGUAUAACGUCGGUAGACAGUUUGAGAUGUGGUAGGAACUUCUUCCAGAGAGCAGGGUAGCGAAGGUUCCGAACCACAAGGAAACCGAGAUGUGGUGACGGACAGUGACGACGAAGUGGAUCGCACUUCUUCCACUGAGGUCAAAGUUGAGACGUACGAGCUUCCCCUUACGCCCUAGAGUCGACGUUUUAGGGCUUCGUUUUGGUAUAACAACAACGAAGUGGUUUGUUCGUUGGAAAGACCUCAGGCACACCCACUUGGAAGCUCAAUUCGUUCAGGAGUUACAUGGCUCAAUGCUCAGUACAACAUUAUUUUUAAAGUCUAUACUUACUUUUAAGA
rnacentral:rRNA from 1 species